rnacentral:rRNA from 1 species
GACGAACGCUGGCGGCGUGCUUAACACAUGCAAGUCGAACGGAGUGGCGAACGGGUGAGUAACACGUGGGUGAUCUGCCUUGCACUUCGGGAUAAGCUUGGGAAACUGGGUCUAAUACCGGCUAGUGCAAGAUGUGCUCGCGGCCAAUCUGCUUGUUGGGGGGGUAAUGGCCGACCAAGGCGUCGACGGGUAGCCGGCCUUGGAGCGUGUACGGGGACAUGGGGCCUGAGAUACGGACCAGACUCCAACGGGAGGCAGCGGUGGGGAGUAUUGCGCAAUGGGCGGAAGCGUGAGGAGGAGACGCUGGGUGUGGGAAGAAGGCCUUCGGGUGGUAAACUCCUUUCGACAGGGACGCGGUACCUGUAGAAGAAGCACCGGCUAACUACGUGCCAGCAGCCGCGGUAAUAC